rnacentral:rRNA from 1 species
UGGGGAAUAUUGGACAAUGGGCGCAAGCCUGAUCCAGCCAUGCCGCGUGAACGAUGAAGGCCUUAGGGUUGUAAAGUUCUUUUGUCAGGGAAGAUAAUGACGGUACCUGGUGAAUAAGCCACGGCUAACUACGUGCCAGCAGCCGCGGUAAUACGUAGGUGGCAAGCGUUGUCCGGAUUUAUUGGGUUUAAAGGGUGCGUAGGUGGCCCUGUAAGUCAGUGGUGAAAUAUCUCAGCUUAACUGAGAGGGUGCCAUUGAUACUGCAGGGCUUGAGUACAGAUGAGGUAGGCGGAAUUGACGGUGUAGCGGUGAAAUGCAUAGAUAUCGUCAAGAACACCGAUAGCGAAGGCAGCUUACUAGACUGUAACUGACGCUGAGGCACGAAAGUGUGGGGAUCAAACAGGAUUAGAUACCCCCGUAGUCCCUGAGCGGGCUGGCAAGGCGCAU